AGGCAGCAGUUGGGAAUUUUGGGCAAUGGGCGAAAGCCUGACCCAGCAACGCCGCGUGAGGGAUGAAGUAUUUCGGUAUGUAAACCUCGAAAGAAUGGGAAGAAUAAAUGACGGUACCAUUUAUAAGCUCCGGCUAACUACGUGCCAGCAGCCGCGGUAAUACGUAGGGAGCAAGCGUUGUUCGGAUUUACUGGGCGUAAAGGGCGCGUAGGCGGCGCGGUAAGUCACUUGUGAAAUCUCUGAGCUUAACUCAGAACGGCCAAGUGAUACUGCUGUGCUAGAGUGCGGAAGAGGCAACCGGAAUUCUUGGUGUAGCGGUGAAAUGCGUAGAUAUCAAGAGGAACACCUGAGGCGAAGGCGGGUUGCUGGGCCGACACUGACGCUGAUGCGCGAAAGCCAGGGGAGCAAACAGGAUUAGAUACCCCGGUAG
rnacentral:rRNA from 1 species